rnacentral:rRNA from 1 species
UACGUAGGGUGCGAGCGUUGUCCGGAAUUAUUGGGCGUAAAGAGCUUGUAGGCGGUUUGUCGCGUCUGCUGUGAAAAUCCGGGGCUCAACCCCGGACUUGCAGUGGGUACGGGCAGACUAGAGUGUGGUAGGGGGAGACUGGAAUUCCUGGUGUAGGCGGUGAAAUGCGCAGAUAUCAGGAGGAACACCGAUGGCGAAGGCAGGUCUCUGGGCCACUACUGACGCUGAGAAGCGAAGCAUGGGGAGCGAACAGG